GACAGGCUUGAGUUGAAAUGAGACUUUGCUAUUUUUCAAUUUGGAUCUUCUUUUCUGCUAGACAGGGGUUUUUAUGUUGUUAUUCUUCUCUACAUACAUGUUUAGGGCUGAAAAUAUGCUUUUGAGUGUUCAUUUGAUUUACAAAUCCAGCAACGACAAAGAUCGAUGAAGAUUUGGAAUUAAGGUAUCCUCAUAAAGGAAUGUUCAAAGAGCUUCUCAAAAAGCAAGGUUCACAAAAUUACGGUUUGAUUGUAAUUCAAUUUUAUCGGAAAACUUGGGUUUGUUUUGAUUAUCAAAAAAUGGAAUAUAGUGUUUCAGAAAUCAAUUAUCAGAGAUUGUUGUUCAUGAAUUUGAAGAAAAAGGGUUUGCUUCAAUAGGAAUAGAAGGUGAGACAGAAGGAGUGGUUUAUUACAUUUACAUUCAUGCUUUCGUAGCCUUUUUGUAUAAAUUAAUUCUUUAAACAUUUUCUAAUAUGAUGAUGAUUAGAGUGAUAUAAACAAAUAUGUUAGUUUUGCAUCACUAUACCAAACAACUUUAUUUAUACUUCUUCCAAAACAUGUCUUAUUAGUUUAU